UACGUAGGGUGCAGGCGUUAAUCGGAAUUACUGGGCGUAAAGCGUGCGCAGGCGGUUUCUUAAGUCAGAUGUGAAAGCCCCGGGCUUAACCUGGGAACUGCGCUUCUAACUGGCAGGCUUGAGUGUGGCAGAGGGGGGUGGAAUUCCACGUGUAGCAGUGAAAUGCGUAGAGAUGUGGAGGAACACCGAUGGCGAAGGCGGCUUUCUGGACUGUAACUGACGCUGAGGCAUGAAAGCGUGGGGAGCAAACAGG
rnacentral:rRNA from 1 species